CGCCUCUCUAUCUCUCUCUUCGGAGUCGGUGUGGGUUGACCACACACUUCCGGCCUUAUUUUUCUCCCUCUAGCGGGCUGGCCUGGGCUGUGAGCUGUCGCAGUGGCGUUUUGGGGGAGACGGUGGCCGCGCGCCCUGCUUUCCGGGAAUCUCAUCGGGGUCUCGGAGGUCCGAGUCUGUUAUGGCGGUGGGCUGCGAGGUGGAGGUGAAGGCGGAAGAGGAGAAGCAAGUCCCCGGAGACUGGCGGGACCCCGAAACCUCCCGGAGACGCUUCCGGCGGCUGAGUUACGCGGACGUGUCAGGCACGGAGAAGGCGCUGAGCGGCCUGCGGGAGCUGUGCCGCCGCUGGCCGUCCCGAGCGGCGCUCCAAGGAACAGAUGCUGGAGCUGCUGGUCCUCGAGCAGUUCCUCAGUCUCCUCCCGCACCGGCUGCGGGACCCCGUGCGCCACCGGCGCCCGAGAGCGGGGAGAAGACGGCGGCCUGGGCGCGCGCCCUGCACCUAGCCUCCCCGCAGGGCACCCGUCUUUCAAGCCCGAAGCUGGAUCUCCGACCCGGGGAGAAUGGCAGCAGCUGGCCGCGGCCCCCCAGAACGCUUGUACGGAGAGAGCACGGAGGACUACGGGAGAACGGCCAUGCCAGGUCUGGAGAACCAAGCUGCCUGGAACCCUGACCUGAUCCCAAAGCAGGAAGAGGACUGCAAGGAAUAGGCCAAGCCUGUGCAGGCCUGGGUACAAGGUGCGCUCCUGGGGACAGACCCCGACAGGGAAGAGAAACCACCUAAAGAUGCUGUCCCACCACUAUCCCAGCCCCAGGAUUCUCCAGGAGAGCCAGGGCGCACGGCCACCGUAGAGGUCCUCUGCGUGGCCAAGGAGGAAAAGUUUUGGAGAAGUGGAGAGCCAGGGUGCAAGGCCAUCUUGCAGGUCCUCUGCCGGGCCAAGGAGGAGCGGCUUUGAGGAGGUUGCCACCGCCCCUGCCCUUGCUCAGGAUCAACGGUGCCCCUUUUGUGAAUUAGUCCCCCCUGGAGAACAAGUUUGCUGUGAGGAGUUGAGCCCGGCUCAGCUCCUUCGUCUGCUACUUUGAGUCUGAAAACAACUGGUGAGCCGUUCUAAUUUCCCUUCCCUUCUUUCCUCCCUCCAGUUCUUCCUUCAUCCCAUCAUCUCCUUUCCAGCCCCCAAAUCUUCUUAACUCACAUAGGAAGCGUUUCCUCCUGACUACCUUGGAGUAGUUGACUGUAUGUGUUCGCUGAGAGGCAGUAGGCGGACUGGACCUUACUGUGGUCCCAGAUGUAGUCCCUGAACGUGAGCUGUACAUCAGCCCCUCAGGCCAAUUACAGGCACAGGCCUGUAAUUCUAGCUUGCCUUUGAGAGCAUUGUGGGGUUCACAGCAAGUCGGAGGCCAGCCUGAACUCUGUGUAGGGAGCUCUUCCCUGACAGGGGGCAAGCCAGCCCUCAGCAGGAGCAGCUGUGCACUGUAGGAAGCCCAUGAAAAUACUCACGCCUAAGUCAAAGGACAGCCUUACAACAUUAAAAGUGAUGGUUUGUACACGGGUUAUCUCAGUAAAUGUAGCUAACGUUGCCUGUAGAUUUCAGAAUUGAAAUGGUUUUUGUAAACAAAUAGAUCACUUUUAUUUGGAGGGGGUUUAUGGGGUGGCUUGGAAAAUGCUGCUGUUUUUGUCUGUGAGGACAGUAUAAACUAGGUUUUUUCCUUUCUCAGGUGGGUGAGCAAGCACAUUAAGCCGAUUCACUCCACAGUCUUCUGCUUGGGCUGGCACCCCAACAACAUUUUGCUUGCUGCAGGGUCACGUGACUUCAAAUGCAGAGUGUUCUCGGCCUACAUCAAGGAGGUGGACAAAAACCAGCCAGCACCCUAUGGGACAGCAAGAUGCCCUUCGGCCAGCUGAUGGCAGAGUUUGGCGGUGGCAGCUUCUCGGCCAGCGGGAGUCACCUGGCCUGGGUCAGUGAUGACAGCACAGUGUCGGUGGCCGAUGCCUCUAAGAGCAUGCAGUGAGUCCUCACCUGGCUGCGGGGGGCGGGGGGGCAGAGGGGAAUAUAGUUAGCAAUCUGUACAUGCUUGGCUCUCCUAGACCAUGUCGGCUAGGGGUUGUUUAUACAGCCAGCGAUCUGUACAUGCUGGCUCUCCAUGGCACCUAUGGGAAGUAAUGUAUACAGCUGGCCACCUGAACACGCUGGCUCUCCUAGACCAUGGCAGUUGCGGAUGGGGGGGUAUAUACAACUAGGGAUCUGUACAUGCUGGCUCUCCAUGUCAGAUAAAGGGAGUAUAUACAGCCAGGGGGAGUAUACAGCUGGCCAUCUCGACACGCUGGCUCUCCUUGGCAGCUAGGGGAAGUGAAUACAGCUGGCCACACACACUCUGGACACAGUAGCCUAGAGCACUGCAGCUAGGAGGAGUGUAUACAGCUGGCCAAGAGGCCCAGGAUAGAGCAGCUGGGUCCCACUGGGGGUCAGUAACCCGCCCCCACCUGUCAGGUAGCGCCUGUAGCCAGCAGGCCCGGUCUCUGCCACCCUGAUGAAGAUCAUGGCUGGGAGCUGGGAGGAUGGCACCGCAGUCACCUGAGUGUCUCCUCACAUCUGUGGACCCCACCAGCCCCCAGGGAGAUGGGACAGAGUGUGGUGGCGAAAGCAGAAGGCUCAAAAGUUCAAGGUCAGCCCAGUCUCUGUCCCAGAUAACCAGAGCUGAAGCUGCUGCCCCGCUCAGCACACACACACAUCCCUCAGCUCUUUCCCCUGACACCACCCCCAAACAGGAGAGGUGCCAUCUUCCUCCUGCCUUUGUGCCCCAGGUCUACGGGGAGAACCCAAAUGGUGCUUUGUCACCAGACUGUGGUGAAAGGUAGCUCUGUGGCAAGGGAAGAAGCCUGGAGCUCGCUUUUGGGCGCCUUGGCACUUACCCUCCCAUGGGCAGCCUGUAACGUUCCCAGGGGAUGGCCUCCUCCUGGCCUCCCCGUGAGGACGCAGUGGCGUGUGGACAGCUCGGAUCUGGUCCUCCCUGUGCUGACUCUACUAGUUUUCUUGUGAAAGGGUCACCAUUACAGAACUGUGCUCUGGGACAGCUUUGCUGGUGUCAAGGUUUUAUUUAUUUUUUUUGGUUGUUUGUGUUUUACUUUGUUUUUAAAUUAAAUUUUUAGUUUUUGUAUUAAUUAUAGUUCAUUUAUUUUGUAGCCCAGCUGUAGCCCCCCUCCCUUCCUCCUGUCUUCCCUCUCCCCCAUCAUCUCUUCCUCCCCACCAUCUCUCUCCCUCCCCAUCAUCCCUCUCUCCCCAUCAACCCUCACUCCCCAUCAUCCCUCCCUCUCUAUUAUCCUUCCCUCCCCACCAUCCCUCUCUCCCUCCUCAUCAUCCUUCUCUCCCCACCAUCCUCCCUCCCUCCAAUAUUAUCCCUCCCUCCCCAUCAUCCCUUCCUUCCUCAUUUCCUCCUUGCUCCUUCUGAUAGGAGAGGUCCUUCUCCCCUUCCAUCUGACCCUAGUAUCAGGUCUCAUCAGGAGUGGCUGCAUUGUCCUCUGUGGCCUGGCAAGACUGCUUCUGCCUCAGGGGGUGGGGGGAGAUUAAAGAACAGGCCACUGAGGUCAUUUCAGAGACCUUGGUGUCAAGCUUUCACUCCUCCGCAUGAAUACACGUUUACAAGCCAGACACGGUGGCACAGGCUCACGAUCCCAGCAUCCGGGGAGGUGAGGCAGGGUGCGCUUCACACACACUACGCUGCACACAGUCUCUUGCAGUGUGCCCCUUCUCAGGGUGCCACCUGCCUGUGCCAGUCCCAGGAUGUGCCCUGUGCACACUCCCCCCCCCCACAGUUCCCCGGAUUGUGCUCCCACUCGGGGUGCCACCUUCCUGUGGCAAACAAGGCGCAUGUGCUGCCCAGAGCCCACACAGAGAAGGGAGAACAGAUUCUCACAGUCGUCCACUAACCUGUGUACCAAAUACACAGCAUAAUGAACUAAUAACAACCUCAAAUGAUAAGUGUGUAAAGGCCCUUUUCAAGGGCUGCACUGUGGCUUCAACCCUCGAGCCGGCCAGGCUGGCAUCUGAGGAGGAGGAGGUGGUCUCUGAAAGCUCUGCAGACAGGUUGGCUCACCCUUCUUUGCCAGUUCUGCAAGCACCUGGGGGUGGGUGAGGGCAUUAAAUGGAGUCUCCCUGUUUCCUUCGGAGUUGUGGAUUUGGGAUGGAACCGGGACUCUUGAAGCCGGAUUUCAAAAGCCAGGAAGGCUCUGGCUGCCCAAGCAGUCUGCUCUCAGAGGCCUUGUUGGGGACUGGUUGGCUUCAGCCAUGCUCCAGUCAUGCCUGAGCUUGGAAGGAGAAAGCAGUUCUUUGUGUCAGUAUCUGCUGAGCCCUGUUCUGUCUCUACCAGCCCCAUGCUGAGGCUGUGGCCUUUCCUCCUCCCUCCCUCCCUCCCUCCCUGUCUUCCUCCUGCUGCUUCUCUUCCCUCUCCUUCCCCCUCCCUCACUCUCCUUUUCCUUCCUGUAUUCCUCUCCCUCCCCUUUCCCUUACUUCUCCAUUCCCCCUCUCUCCCUUCCCCCUCUUUCUCUCAUCCCCUCCUUCCCCUUUUCUCCCCUUCCCUCUCCUUCUCCCACCUCUCUCCUUUCUCCCACUCUCCCUUCCUCUCUCAGCCUCUUUCCUUCUUUCUCCCUUUCUCUCUCCCCCUCUCCUCUUUUCUCCCUCUCUCCCACUCUCUUUCCCUUUCUUUCUCCCUCUCUCUACCUUCCUCUCACUCCCUCUCUCCCUUUUUCCCACUCUUUCCCUUUCUCUCUUCCUCUCUCUCUACCUUCCUCUUUCUCUUUCUCUCCCUCCCUUCCUCUCUUCCUCCCUUUCUCACCUUCUCUCUCUACAUCCCUCUCCCUUCUUCCCUCUCUCUCUCCCUCCCUCCUUUUCCCUCUCCCUCUCCUCUGACACCAGAUAGCUGUGAGCCACCCUGUGAGUGCUGGGACUUGAACUCAGGACCUCUGCAAGAGGAGCCAGCACUGUCAACCUCUGAGCCCUUCCCUGCAGCCCCAGUGACCUUGAACUUGUAACCUUCUGCCUCUACCUUCAGAUGGUUAGGGCUCCAUGCAAGCACCAGCGCCCAGUAUAUGUGGCAUUGGGGACCCGGCCAGGGCCUGGUGUAGUCUCAGGCCUGCCCACUGGGCCACAUCCUGGGUGAGUGACCCCUCCUGCUCUGGGACAGGGUCUCACAUGUGGCCCUGAGGGAUCUGGAGCCCAGUGUACCCCUAGCCGUGAGUCAGUGCGGGGCUUGGGGGGCUGGCCUUACUCUCCUCCACAGACCUCACGGUCCCGCUCUUCUUUCAGCCAGGUGUCCAUUUACAAGGUGGACAAGCAGGACUGUCACAAAUUCUGCACCACUAGCAUGGAUGGGGCCAUGAUGAUAUGGGAUUUCAGGGUAUGUGUCCCCAAUUGUGGUUGUCAGCACUGGGGUACAGCCUGGGCCAUGGGUAUCCACUAAGCCACACUGCCUGGCAGAAGAGCUGGCCUCAGAGUCCUCACCCCAAGGGGAGCACAGUGCCUGGCGGGUGGGUGGGUGGAGGCUCAGAGCUGCCCUCAUCUUCAGGAAAGCUUGGUGCCGUGUGGAAGCCAGCAGCCCACACAGCUGUGCACAGACACAGCUUCACAGUUUACACAGUUGGCCAUGGGCUCAGUCCUGCAAUUCCCAAGCUUGGGAGACUGAGGUAGAGGGAUUGCUUUGAGCUUGGUCCCAGCCUGAGCUAAAUGGUAAAACCUUAUCCCCCAACGCCACCAAAAAAAUAAUGCAAUGAGCCGAGAAGAUAGAACAUGCAUGCAUACACAUGCACGUAUGCAACAAGUGUGAUAAUACAAAGAGCAGUAUAGGGCUGGAGCGAUGGCUUAGCAGUUAAGAGCACUCUGCUAGGACUAAGGAUGUGGUUCCCGACACCUUCUUGGCAGCUCACAAUCAAAUGUCACUCCAGGUCCACGGAAUCUGAUGUUCUAUCAUCCACAGACAUCAGACACACGUGGUGCAUUCAAACGUACGUACGUAUGUACAUACGUACAUACAUGCCUACAUACAUACAUACGUAAUUAGCCAGGUGUGGUUAGCACGCUUGUGAUCCCAGUGUUCGCGGAGGCGGGGGCAUCUGAGUUCACGGCCAGCCUGGUCUACAGAGUGAGGCCAGGACAGCCAGGACUACAUAGAGAGACCCAGUUUCCGAAAAACAAAACGACAGAAUGACAUAAAUCUUGAAAUAAAGGUCCAGACUUAGGGACGCAUGUCUUUAAUCCCAGGAGUCAGAAGAGGGUUGGUCUCCAUGAGUUGGAGGUAGCCUGGUAUAUACAGAGUUCCAGUCCGGCCAGGGCCAGGCAGUGAGGGGAAGAAAAAGUGGGAGGGAGGGAAGGAGAGAAGGAAGAAAAGAGAGGAAAGGAAGGGAGGGAAGAAAGGAGCCUGUGCAGCCAGAGGUGAUGUGAGCUCUUGGGAAAGGAGACUGCAGGCACUGAAGCCAGGGAGUGCAGCAGUGUGGCAGGGAGCCAAGGUCUCCAGGGCUGACAGAGCUCUGCUUUCUCCACACCCUGAAGUCAUCCAUCCAGAGUCUCCGCAUCAUAUGAGGAGGAGCUGUUCAGCUUAGGAUCGGGGCUCCUUGAAUGAAGUAACAUGUCUUAGGCAUAGUUAUAUUCACUUAAUAAAAUAUAUAUUUUAAAUAUUGAAAGUGUUUGAGCAGGGACAGCAGAGAACCCAGCAAAAUAGUAGCUGGUCCAUUAUUACAGUGAGUAAUUUUAUUAUGGAUCAGAGAGGAAAAAUGUUCAGAGGCACCUGGAAGAGUUCAGAGCACAGAAAAAAAGCAGACUUGAUAUGACCAAGACUGUCUAGAAGAAAUGGAGAAAAGUAGGAGAUAACUCAGACAGAGACAAACUUUGCUUUCAUAAGUGCACAGGCUGGACCUACGUCCCCCUACACUUAUGUAGCAGAUAUGCAGCUUAGUCAACAUGUGGGUCCCCUAAAAGUUGAAUUGAGAACUUUCACUGACUGUCCCUUUCCCCUAGCUGGGCUGUCUUGCCUGUCCUCAGGAUCCUCUUAGUUCUGCCUGAUGUGUGUGAUAUGUCAGGGUGGGUUGGUACACAUAAUGAGUCUCUCUGAAGAGAAUGAGGUAAUGGGGGAGGGGAGAAUGGUGGUGGGACUGUGAGGAGAGAAGGGAUGGGGGCCUGGAUGAAGAUAUGAAAUUAAUAAAUUAAUUGGUGGAAGGAAAGACAGGGUAAUUUUUAGACUAUUUAGGAAAUUAGGAUAGUGCAGAAAUAGAUGAGGCUGGUGGGAAGGCACAACAAUCUAGAUGGGUGUUUUGAGGUGUAUAACAAGUACAUUUACUCCCCCUUCAGGAGACCAGGAGGCCACCAUGGGUGUUGAGAUCCUGAUAGGAGUCACAGGUCAAUAGAGAGCCAUAUGUCCCUUUUGUCGGAGUAUAAAAAAUGGUCAUUUCUCUCGACAAGAACUAUUUCACUAAUUCUGGAUGAAUGCUGUUUUUGGUUUGUGUGGUUUUUUUUGUUUGGUUUUUUCUAAUCACCAGAAUUCCUUUGAUACUGUGUGUUGAGCAGGUCCAGGACUGUCAUUUUUGGAUAUUUGCACUACCUGGGACCUAAAUAGUUUAUGCUAUUAGGAAAGCCUGGUUACUUUCUUCACACGUAUUUAUUACUACUAUUUAAAAAAUAAUGGGUUUAGUUACCGCAUGCCACUAUAUAGAUUUCCUUCUGAUGUGUUUUUAUUUCUCAUACUCAAAUGUGUCAUAUUUUUAAAAUCAUAAUUAUUCAGCAGAAUAUAUUUAUGAAGAACCUAACAGUCUGGUAGAAUUUUGCUAUCUUAAUGAGAAUGGUAUAAUUACACGUAUUAAUGAAAUUACACAUUUUGCAGAAGUCAAAAAUUAUCAGCAAAUGCAAUCACCGUAAAGACAGACAAUUCUAAUUUUGAAUGAUUUGCCCAUGAUUAUUAUAUGUCCAAGGUAUAGUACAUAUUAUGAAAUUUACAGAGUAUCUCCCAUGUUUCAGUUACAAUUCUUUGUGUCUCUAGGAUUAAUAUAUAAAAUUUAUGGUAUACUAAUAAGCAUGUUCACUCCACUCUUCAAAGCUUUCUGACUUCCGUGUGCAUGAAACUUUCUAACUGUAUCUCAGGAAAGCACAUUAAUCAUUAAAUUAUUUUAUGAUUUUUCAUGUGUUAAACUCCAAGGUUCAUAGUUUUAAUGACUUUGCAUGUUGCCUAUUUUCACAUGGGCCUUUAACAGGUUAAAAGAAUUAGGAAUUGAUAAUCCUUAGAGAUGAAUAUAAAUUUCAUGAUUUUUUUUUACAUUACUGUCUUUUUAAUAAUAUCAUUUAUUACAAUUUAUUCAAAUUACAGUGCAGCUGUGGCCCCCUCCCUUAUCACCUCCCAAUCCCAUCCUCCUUCCCUCUUCUCCCCUUACACCCCUCCCCUAGUCCACUGUUAGGGAAGGUCAUCCUCCCCUUCUAUUUAACCCUAUACAAGACUUUCUCCUAUUGUUUCACUGAUAUCAUUACAGUUAUCUAUCCUUCUAUUUAACAUCUAUCUUCAGUCUAUCAUCUGUAUCAUAUAGCUCUUACACACAUACACACACAGUUUUGAAUGUUAUUUGUUUGAAACACGUGGUUCAAAAUUAUUUCAAAAUCAAUGUCUUAAAGUAAAAAUUCUGAAGCAUUUGAAAUGCAUGUGUCACUUUGUCAGUUAUGGCCUGUGCCUUGGAAUGUUGAUAUCACAGUGGUUUCUCCCCGACUACUACAGAAUGUUUACACUUCAGUGGUUUGUCUACAAACUGCUGAGCCAUUUUUGGUUAGUGCCAGGAAAGAAAAGGAAAAUUUUGUGCCCAGUGAAAGUUUCUCUAUCCCAGUCUCCACUGUAAAGGUAUUUUAAAAUGAUCAUUAUGAUUUUCAUGCUAGACCAAUGAUUUCAGGAAACGUUCUGUCUUCAUUUCUCUAGAACAUCUGAUCUAGUUAACAGUUAUUUUAUGAAAAGCUAUUCCUGUUAGAAAUAGUCAAUACCAUUGCCCCAAAGAAGCAAAGUUAUCAUGACAGAGAGGUAUGCUGAGUUAUUAUACAAGAGAAUGAUAUCCAUGUAUCUUCAAAACUAUAUGCCCAAGUUAUAAGAGAUUAUUUUCUGUUACAUCUAGUUGUUUAUCCACUAUGCCAACAAAGCUUUGUUGGAAACUGCUCAGAUUUCAGCCCCAAAUUCAACAACCUUCUGGUUUCAACAAUAUAUUUCUCAAUAUAUGAACAUUGAUUCUGCUAGAUAGGAAUAACUUUCUAGACAUACUCAUUUAAUUUCAAUUUUAUCAUGAAACUGCAUUGGCAAUAUUUUAUAAAAUACCUUUACAUUUUUGCCAGAUGCGUUUGAUGACAACCAUUAGCAGAUGUCUCUCUUUGACUGUUCAGUUCAGAGGGAUCUUUAAUCCUUCUCAAGUAAAAACUAUAGUUUGUCAGUACAUAUUCCUUGAAUGAAGUAAAAUGACUUAGGCAUAGUAAUAUUCAAUUAAUAAAAUAUAUACUUUAAAUAUUCAAACUGUAUGAGCAGGAACAGUAGACAAGCCAGUAAAAUAGUAGCCACUCUGUUAUUACAGGGAAUGAUUUUAUUAUGGAUCAGAGAGGAAAAAUGUUCAGAGGCACCUGGAAGAGUUCAGAGCACAGAAGAAAAAAAAAACGUAGCAGACUUGAUAUGACCAAGACUGUCUUGAAGAGAGUAAAGAAUAUUAAGAGAAAAGUAGAGAUAGCUUAGACAGAGACAAACUGUGCUUUCAUAAGUGCACAGGCUGAACCUAGGUCCACCUACACAUAUGUAGCAGAUGUGCGGCUUAGUCAACAUAUGGGUCCCCUAACAAUUGGACUGAGAACUGUCUCUGACUCUGUUGCUUGCCCUUAGUUCCCUUUCCCCUAGCUGGGCUGUCUUGCCUUUCCUUAGUGAGAGAGGAUGCUCUUAGUCCUGCCUGAUGUGAUGUUAGGGUG